UAGACUUGGAUCCUGAAGACGAAUGGACCAAGGUGAUAUGUCUUCUUGGAGCAGAAUGACGACCAGAUGGAGCCAUAUGACCACAUGACAGCGCCGGACUGCCCAAUCAACAAUGUCCUUCAUCGUAUCAUCUAUAUACUAGACUACAGAAGCCUCUCUUUAAUGGAGAUCUGAUGAAUAAUGGAACCAGGUACAGCACAGAGUAACUAACAACCCAACCAAAGAUUGCAGGUGAACUGCAUGAUGAACAACGAUUAGCAUUAUCUACACUGGAAGAUGUAUCAACCAUAGUCAAGACACACUGAAAUGUCUUUACAAAUUGUGACUUUUUGUGGUAACUCUAAAGUCUACGAGUAUCAAUUCUGACAGACUUACAUGUAUAGGAAGAAUUUAAUCUGGACACAGAAAGACAAUCAGUGAUUAAUAAUCUUUGCUUUAUUAUAUUUCAAACAAUGCAUUGAAUGCACACACAUACAAAAAAUUAGUAAACAAGCAUUUAUCACAAUUUGAUUGUCAAUGGUUACAAAAAACAAUAAA